CAUACUCCUGUAAAAAUCGAUACAAGAAAACAGAUAAAGGCAAACAAAAAACAUAAAUUUCAAGCGCACCUUGCCGCAUACCUAGGUAUCUCCUCUUUGGGUUUUUGUGGUCAUCGCCUUCUC
rnacentral:sRNA from 1 species